rnacentral:tRNA from 6 species
AGGAUAGCUCAGUUGGUUAGAGCAUCGGGCCGUUAACCCGAAAGUCGCGGGUUCGAUUCCCGCUCCUA